GGGAGAUGGCUUGGUGGUUAAAAGCACUGGAUGCUCUUCCAGAGGACCUGGGUUUGAUUCCCUGCACCCA
rnacentral:tRNA from 1 species